rnacentral:misc_RNA from 1 species
UUCUCCAUCUCCUUGCCUCAAGUAAAUAUACUAAUUAUUUCCAUCCCCUUUCUUCAAAUACUUUUAUAAUUAAGGCAUUAAUAAUUAAUAUCUAGGCUUCCUACAUGCAUCUUAUUGAAUGAGGUAUGCUACCUACUUAUUGUAAAUGCAUUUGAAAUAAAUUAUAUUUUUAUAUGAUUUUUUAUAAUGGAACCCAGCUUUGGGCUACACAAUAGGGGUAGCCCUCCCCCUCCCUAAGCCCUGCCCCUCCUGAAACCCUAACCCACCUUGAUCAACUAGAACAACUCUCCUCAUCUAUAACUUGGUUUGAUCCCUAGACUUCUUCUCCCUCAAGUACUUUGACUUGAUGUGCUGAAUAUAUAUGCAUGAGCUCGUUGUAUUCUUAAUUGUUGAAUAUUUUAAAAUUAUUAAAUUAGUGUUAUCAAGGCAAAAG